rnacentral:rRNA from 2 species
AUUGAUUGAUGGUGCUUGCACCUGAUUGAUUUUGGUCGCCAACGAGUGGCGGACGGGUGAGUAACACGUAGGUAACCUGCCCAGAAGCGGGGGACAACAUUUGGAAACAGAUGCUAAUACCGCAUAACAACGUUGUUCGCAUGAACAACGCUUAAAAGAUGGCUUCUCGCUAUCACUUCUGGAUGGACCUGCGGUGCAUUAGCUUGUUGGUGGGGUAACGGCCUACCAAGGCGAUGAUGCAUAGCCGAGUUGAGAGACUGAUCGGCCACAAUGGGACUGAGACACGGCCCAUACUCCUACGGGAGGCAGCAGUAGGGAAUCUUCCACAAUGGGCGCAAGCCUGAUGGAGCAACACCGCGUGAGUGAAGAAGGGUUUCGGCUCGUAAAGCUCUGUUGUUAAAGAAGAACACGUAUGAGAGUAACUGUUCAUACGUUGACGGUAUUUAACCAGAAAGUCACGGCUAACUACGUGCCAGCAGCCGCGGUAAUACGUAGGUGGCAAGCGUUAUCCGGAUUUAUUGGGCGUAAAGAGAGUGCAGGCGGUUUUCUAAGUCUGAUGUGAAAGCCUUCGGCUUACCCGGAGAAGUGCAUCGGAAACUGGAUAACUUGAGUGCAGAAGAGGGGUAGUGGAACUCCUGGUGUAGCGGUGGAAUGCGUAGAAUUAUGGAAGAACACCAGUGGCGAAGGCGGCUACCUGGUCUGCAACUGACGCUGAGACUCGAAAGCAUGGGUAGCGAACAGGAUUAGAUACCCUGGUAGUCCAUGCCGUAAACGAUGAGUGCUAGG